CGGCGUGCCUAACACAUGCAAGUCGUACGAGAAAGCCGGCUUCGGCUGGUGGUAAAGUGGCGCACGGGUGAGUAACGCGUGGAUAAUCUGCCCUUAAGUGUGGAAUAACGUACCGAAAGGUGCGCUAAUACCGCAUAAUGCCUGGCAACACAAGUUGUCCGGCCAAAGAAGGCCUCUGUUUACAAGCUUUCGCUUCAGGAUGAGUCCGCGUACCAUUAGCUUGUUGGUGGGGUAAUGGCCUACCAAGGCUGCGAUGGUUAGCUGGUCUGAGAGGAUGAUCAGCCACACUGGAACUGAGACACGGUCCAGACUCCUACGGGAGGCAGCAGUGAGGAAUAUUGCGCAAUGGGGGCAACCCUGACGCAGCAACGCCGCGUGAGUGAGGAAGGUUUUCGGACUGUAAAGCUCUGUCGAGCGGGAAGAAGUGUACCAUGGCUAAUAUCCAUGAUAUUUGACGGUACCGCUAGAGGAAGCACCGGCUAACUCCGUG
rnacentral:rRNA from 1 species